UGCAGGGGCGGGGCUGCGUGUGCGGCGUCAUGACGUAAGCGCACGCCGACGCGCCGGAGGGGAGGAAUGCGGCAGGAGGAAAACUUAGGAAGAGCUGGUUGCACCCCACUGAGAGCGUUGCUUCCAAGCGGCUCCGGAGUGGAGCGGAGUGGAUAGGGGUAGACUUUUCACACGGGGACAAAUUAUUACAGGAUAUCUGCACCACCCCCUUUCCGAGUCACUCGGACGCAUCGGUUACUUCAGCAGGUUCUCUGCAUCAUGGACCCUUUUGAGGCUCAGGCCCUGUCCUACCAUGAGCUGAAGAGGCAGCAACAUACGUGUUUGGAGUUUAGUAGGGACUGGGAAGCGGAGAAAAUAACUGCCUAACCAAAGAGAUGGUAUCUCGAUGCGUUCUCCUGGCUGGCCUUGAACUCCUGAGCUCAAGUGAUCCUCCCGCCUCGUCCUCUCAAAGUGCUGGGAUUACAGGCAUGAGCCACCAUGCCCAGCCUGUUUCUUGAAAUUUGGUCUCCAACCAUGACAAAAAACUGGCCAUUGCCUAAUCAGUAUCUUCUAGACACUGGAAGGCCAGCAAGCAAGUUUUUCGGAAUUUGUCGCAUGCUGACAUUUUGUGUCAGUUUUUUCCUGGAACACAGUGUACCCUUUGGAUGUUCCAAGGGAUCAAGGUAAUA